UACGUAGGGUGCGAGCGUUAAUCGGAGUUACUGGGCGUAAAGCGUGCGCAGGCGGUUUUACAAGCCACAUGUGAAAUCCCCGGGCUUAACCUGGGAACUGCAUUUGGGACUGUAAGGCUAGAGUGCGGCAGAGGGGGGUAGAAUUCCACGUGUAGCAGUGAAAUGCGUAGAUAUGUGGAGGAAUACCGAUGGCGAAGGCAGCCCCCUGGGUCGACACUGACGCUCAUGCGCGAAAGCGUGGGGAGCAAACAGG
rnacentral:rRNA from 1 species